GAUGAACGCUGGCGGCGUGCCUAAUACAUGCAAGUCGAGCGGACGGACGAGAAGCGUGCUUCUCGGAUGUUAGAGGCGGAAGGGAGAGGAAAACGACGAUAACCUGCCUAUAAGACUGGGAUAACUUAGGGAAACCGGAGCUAAUACCGGAUGAUAUUUUGAACGGCAGGGUUGAAAAGUGAAAGACGGUCUUGCUGUCACUGAUAGAUGUAUCCGCGCUGCGUUAGCUAGUUGUUAAGGUAACGGCUUACCAAGGCAACGAUGCAUAGCCGACCUGACAGGGGGAACCGCGACACUGGAACCGACACACGGUCCAGGCUCCUACGGGAGGCCGCAGCUGGGACUGUUGCCAGCAGGGGGGAAUCUUGCAGGAGCGGCGGCGGGCGAGUGCUGCAGGGCUUCGGGUCGGAAAACUGUGUUCGUAUGGUAGAACAUAUGUAGAAGUAACUGUGCACGUCGUGACGGUACCUAAUGAGAAAGCCCCGGCUAACUACGUG
rnacentral:rRNA from 1 species